GCUGGGUGUGGUGACGCAUGCCUGUGAUCCCAGUGGCUGGGGAGGCUGAGGCAGGAGGACCAUAGGUUCAAAGCCAGCCUCAGCAAUGGCAAGGCUCUAAGCAAUUCAGUGAGACUCUGUCUCUA
rnacentral:sRNA from 1 species